rnacentral:rRNA from 1 species
UGGGGAAUAUUGGACAAUGGGGGGAACCCUGAUCCAGCCAUGCCGCGUGUGUGAAGAAGGCCUUUUGGUUGUAAAGCACUUUAAGCGAGGAGGAGGCUCUUCUAGUUAAUACCUAGGAUGAGUGGACGUUACUCGCAGAAUAAGCACCGGCUAACUCUGUGCCAGCAGCCGCGGUAAUACAGAGGGUGCGAGCGUUAAUCGGAUUUACUGGGCGUAAAGCGUACGUAGGCGGCUUUUUAAGUCGGAUGUGAAAUCCCUGAGCUUAACUUAGGAAUUGCAUUCGAUACUGGGAAGCUAGAGUAUGGGAGAGGAUGGUAGAAUUCCAGGUGUAGCGGUGAAAUGCGUAGAGAUCUGGAGGAAUACCGAUGGCGAAGGCAGCCAUCUGGCCUAAUACUGACGCUGAGGUACGAAAGCAUGGGGAGCAAACA